UCCAGCGGUAGUCAGCUGUCCAGAGCAAUACUGUGUCUGCGAUGGUGUUACGCUGCUGGGAGAGAAAGAUCAGUCGCUUCUUCUGGCCACUGUUGUCACCGUUCUGGAGACAACUAGUGCCAGCAAGAAGUGGCCCUGUGCUUCCCUGAGAGUGCGCUGAAGAUCUGCUCUCCCUCUUCGGGGCUAGUCUGGAAGCAUACACA
rnacentral:snoRNA from 1 species